rnacentral:rRNA from 1 species
UACGAAGGGGGCUAGCGUUGCUCGGAAUCACUGGGCGUAAAGGGUGCGUAGGCGGGUCUUUAAGUCAGGGGUGAAAUCCUGGAGCUCAACUCCAGAACUGCCUUUGAUACUGAGGAUCUUGAGUUCGGGAGAGGUGAGUGGAACUGCGAGUGUAGAGGUGAAAUUCGUAGAUAUUCGCAAAGAACACCAGUGGCGAAGGCGGCUCACUGGCCCGAUACUGACGCUGAUGCACGAAAGCGUGGGGAGCAAACAGG